rnacentral:pre_miRNA from 1 species
UCUUAUGGAUGAGCAAAGAAAGUGGUUUCUUGAAAUCUGCUCCUGGUGAAGAUGCUGUGAA